AGCAAGCCAGACGGAUAGACAGCAGCUGCUGCGUGUCCGAGCUCAGCUCCUCCUCGAUCCCCCGCCCUCUACCUCCCUGCUCGCUCCACCGACACCAGGGGCCGUAGCGGCGACGGCGCCCCACCCCCAGCGCUCGGUCCGGAGCCCUCGAGGUGAUCCGGGCUGGGCCUGUCGAGGAUCUUUUACAAUCGGCGGCCCCCUAUUCUCUCCCGACCGGCCUCGUCCCUAGCGUCCCAAGAGCGGGAUCAGGCGGCUGCUAGCGAAAGACCUACAGGAGCCCAGACUCGAGGCCCGCCAGGAUGCGGAGACUGAGGGCGGGUUCGGCCGCCAGGAAGCGCUCCCGCCCGGGGCAGCAAUCCUCCUCCGCCCUCCUCUGCAACCUCCAACCCGGGAGGGCCCUACGGGGCCUCCUCCUCCACACAGUGGGUCAGCCCAGUGGGGCUGCUUUCUGCCAAAGACUUGGCCCACCCUUCAAGCGCCCCUUCCCCCAGUCUCCAUAAAAACUCUUUCAGAACUCCGGGGAAUCAACCAUGCUGGUGGGAGCUCCCAGCUCAGGCCUACUCCCCCAUCUCACAGUUCCCGAUCACACAGGGGAGCACGCGGGAUUUCCUAGGCUUGAGAACCCUCCUCCAAGCCUGGACGGAGCCUCAAGAGUGGUGAGAAGGACCAGAUUGACUCGAAGAGCCGCCCUCCUCAGUUUGCUCCUCUCCUACACUCCUCUACCCUAGUCUCCACCGACCUGCUUCCUUCUGCGCUUGCCUAGUGGGGGGUGAAGGAGAGGACAACUACCUUCACUUCUCCCCCCAACUUUCACAUACACCCUCCGUCCCUUAAGGUGGAGUCUCCUGGGAGGCGGGCAGCCUCGCAGAUCCUUCUGCCUUAAGGCCUUGCAAAGGCAGAGUUUCCUCCUGUCAGUCUGGGGUCUUCCAGCUCCCUGCCGCAUUUGCCACCUCCUCCCACACUCCUUUCAUCCUUCCCCGCAGCAUAUCUGGACAUAGACCACCCCUCGACCCCGCAAAAAACAAAACAAAACAAAACAAAACAAAGCCUUGAGAAAUCUCCAAACACCUGUGCGUGGACGAAUUACAGUUCACAGUUGCUCCUAUAUCCCUCAUCACAAUUGGCCCUCCCCCCAACCGUGGGAGGCAACUGCUCUUAAGCCGGGUUAUAGUUGGGGGAAUUGAGGACCGGGGGGAACUGAAUGUGGGUUUUGAACGCUUCUGCAAGGCCCUUUCCACCCCACUUCACAGAAAGUAGGGAAGUGAGCAAAUCUCUCAUUUUCCCUGACUUCAGAAAGCCUGCUUGCUGCUCCUGGAGUCAGCACCUGCUCCUCCCUUGUCCACUCUAUCCCCCAAUGAAGGCACUAUUUGGGAGUGGCACUACAGCCCCAAGAUGGAGGCAUGGAGGGCAGCAGAAGCCGAGCCACAGUCCUUGUGCACCCCCUGGACUUCCCCAAGGAGGGCAUGUGGAAGAGAAAGUCUGCCUUUCUCUGGGAGUAUGGGUCAUUGUCUUCUAGGUUCCUCUCCCCCUUAACAUGGAGGAAAAACUCCAAAAUAAGCUUGCGUGUGCU
rnacentral:lncRNA from 1 species